rnacentral:rRNA from 1 species
AACCCGACCCUCGCAUGAAGUCGGAAUUGCUAGUAAUCGCGGAUCAGAAUGCCGCGGUGGAAUAACGUUCCCGGGCCCUUGUACACACCGCCCGUCACACCAUGAGAGCCGGUAACACCCGAAGUCAGGAGCCUAACCGCAAGGAGGGCGCUGCCGAAGGUGGGAUUGGUAAUUGGGUGAAGUCGUAACAAGGUACC